AGCGAACGCUGGCGGCAGGCUUAACACAUGCAAGUCGAGCGGGCGUAGCAAUACGUCAGCGGCAGACGGGUGAGUAACGCGUGGGAACAUACCUUUUGGUUCGGAACAACACAGGGAAACUUGUGCUAAUACCGGAUAAGCCCUUACGGGGAAAGAUUUAUCGCCGAAAGAUUGGCCCGCGUCUGAUUAGCUAGUUGGUGAGGUAAUGGCUCACCAAGGCGACGAUCAGUAGCUGGUCUGAGAGGAUGAUCAGCCACACUGGGACUGAGACACGGCCCAGACUCCUACGGGAGGCAGCAGUGGGGAAUCUUGGACAAUGGGGGAAACCCUGAUCCAGCCAUGCCGCGUGAAUGAUGAAGGCCUUAGGGUUGUAAAGUUCUUUCGCCAGGGAAGAUAAUGACGGUACCUGGAUAAGAAGCCCCGGCAAACUUCGUG
rnacentral:rRNA from 1 species